GCUUACGGCCAUACCACCCUGAGAACGCCCGAUCUCGUCCGAUCUCGGAAGCUAAGCAGGGUCGGGCCUGGUUAGUACUUGGAUGGGAGACCGCCUGGGAAUACCAGGUGCUGGAAGCU
rnacentral:rRNA from 1 species